GACGAACGCUGGCGGCGUGCCUAAUACAUGCAAGUAGAACGCACAGUUUAUACCGUAGCUUGCUACACCAUAGACUGUGAGUUGCGAACGGGUGAGUAACGCGUAGGUAACCUGCCUGGUAGCGGGGGAUAACUAUUGGAAACGAUAGCUAAUACCGCAUAAUAUUGAUUAUUGCAUGAUAAUUGAUUGAAAGAUGCUAUUGCAUCACUACCAGAUGGACCUGCGUUGUAUUAGCUAGUAGGUGAGGUAACGGCUCACCUAGGCGACGAUACAUAGCCGACCUGAGAGGGUGAUCGGCCACACUGGGACUGGGACACGGCCCAGACUCCUACGGGAGGCAGCAGUAGGGAAUCUUCGGCAAUGGACGAAAGUCCGACCGAGCAACGCCGCGUGAGUGAAGAAGGUUUUCGGAUCGUAAAGCUCUGUUGUAAGAGAAGAACGGGUGUGAGAGUGGAAAGUUCACACUGUGACGGUAUCUUACCAGAAAGGGACGGCUAACUACGUG
rnacentral:rRNA from 1 species